AGAGUUUGAUCCUGGCUCAGGAUGAACGCUGGCGGCGUGCCUAAUACAUGCAAGUCGAACGAAGAUUAAAGAAAGCUUGCUUUCAAUAAUCUUAGUGGCGAACGGGUGAGUAACACGUAGAUAACCUGCCCAUAUACCUGGGAUAACUGCUGGAAACGGUAGCUAAAACCGGAUAGGUAAUGAAGUGGCAUCACUUCAUUAUUAAAGGACCUUCGGGUUUGGAUAUGGAUGGAUCUGCGGCGCAUUAGCUAGUUGGUGAGGUAACGGCCCACCAAGGCGAUGAUGCGUAGCCGACCUGAGAGGGUGAACGGCCACAUUGGGACUGAGACACGGCCCAAACUCCUACGGGAGGCAGCAGUAGGGAAUUUUCGUCAAUGGAGGGAACUCUGAACGAGCAAUGCCGCGUGAGUGAAGAAGGUUUUCGGAUCGUAAAGCUCUGUUGUAAGCGAAGAACGGUGCAUAUAGGAAAUGAUAUGCAAGUGACGGUAGCUUACCAGAAAGCCACGGCUAACUACGUGCCAGCAGCCGCGGUAAUACGUAGGUGGCGAGCGUUAUCCGGAAUGAUUGGGCGUAAAGCGCGCGCAGGCGGUCCUUUAAGUCUGAUGUGAAAGCCCACGGCUCAACCGUGGAGGGUCAUUGGAAACUGGGGGACUUGAGUGCAGGAGAGAAGAGUGGAAUUCCACGUGUAGCGGUGAAAUGCGUAGAGAUGUGGAGGAACACCAGUGGCGAAGGCGACUCUUUGGCCUGUAACUGACGCUGAGGCGCGAAAGCGUGGGGAGCAAACAGGAUUAGAUACCCUGGGUAGUCCACGCCCGUAAACGAUGAGUGCUAAGUGUUAGAGGGUUUCCGCCCUUUAGUGCUGCAGUAAACGCAUUAAGCACUCCGCCUGGGGAGUACGGCCGCAAGGCUGAAACUCAAAGGAAUUGACGGGGACCCGCACAAGCGGUGGAGCAUGUGGUUUAAUUCGAAGCAACGCGAAGAACCUUACCAGGUCUUGACAUCCUCUGAUAAUCCUAGAGAUAGGACGUUCCCCUUCGGGGGACAGAGUGACAGGUGGUGCAUGGUUGUCGUCAGCUCGUGUCGUGAGAUGUUGGGUUAAGUCCCGCAACGAGCGCAACCCUUGUCCUUAGUUGCCAGCAUUUAGUUGGGCACUCUAAGGAGACUGCCGGUGACAAACCGGAGGAAGGUGGGGAUGACGUCAAAUCAUCAUGCCCCUUAUGACCUGGGCUACACACGUGCUACAAUGGAUGGUACAAAGGGUUGCGAGACCGCGAGGUUUAGCCAAUCCCAUAAAACCAUUCUCAGUUCGGAUUGUAGGCUGCAACUCGCCUACAUGAAGCCGGAAUCGCUAGUAAUCGUGGAUCAGCAUGCCACGGUGAAUACGUUCCCGGGUCUUGUACACACCGCCCGUCACACCACGAGAGUUUGUAACACCCGAAGUCGGUGGGGUAACCGCAAGGAGCCAGCCGCCUAAGGUGGGACAGAUGAUUGGGGUGAAGUCGUAACAAGGUAACC
rnacentral:rRNA from 1 species